rnacentral:RNase_P_RNA from 1 species
UAAGUAAAUCGCCUUAUCGCUCGAAUGCUGAACUUGUUUCGGCAAACGGGAGGAAAGUCCGAACACCGUAGUGCAACAUAGUGGUUAAUGGCCACCGGCCGAGAGGUCAGGAAAAGUGCAACAGAAAGAAUGUACAGGUAAUGCUGUAGUGAAAUCAGGUAAACUCUAUGUGGUGCAAUGCCAUGUAAACCAGCGUUUGAAGGCGGCACGUUUGAUGCUGGAGGGUAGGCAGCUAAAGUAUACUGGUAACAGUGCAUUCAGAUAAAUGAUAGGGGCGUUCUGGGUUGGUUUAAGAGAGAUUCUGAAACGAGUUCAGAAUGAACAGAAUUCGGCUUAUAGAUUUGCUUAAAUA